GAUGAAGAACGCAGCGAAAUGCGAUAAGUAGUGUGAAUUGCAGAAUUCAGUGAAUCAUCGAAUCUUUGAACGCACAUUCGCCCCUUGGUAUCCCGAGGGGCAUGCCUGUUCGAGCGUCAUUUCACCACUCAAGCCUGGCUUGGUGUUGGGCGACGUCCUCUUUGGGGACGCGCCUCGAAACGCUCGGCGGCGUGGCACCGGCUUUAAGCGUAGCAGAAUCUUUCGCUUUGGAAGUCGGGGCCCCGUCUGCCGGAAGACCUGCUCGCAAGGUUGACCUCGGAUCAGGCAGGGAUACCCGCUGAACUUAAGCAUAUCAAUAAGCGGAGGA
rnacentral:misc_RNA from 1 species